UGGGCUCUUUGCUGACGAGUGGCGGACGGGUGAGUAAUGUCUGGGAAACUGCCUGAUGGAGGGGGAUAACUACUGGAAACGGUAGCUAAUACCGCAUAACGUCGCAAGACCAAAGAGGGGGACCUUCGGGCCUCUUGCCAUCGGAUGUGCCCAGAUGGGAUUAGCUUGUUGGUGGGGUAACGGCUCACCAAGGCGACGAUCCCUAGCUGGUCUGAGAGGAUGACCAGCCACACUGGAACUGAGACACGGUCCAGACUCCUACGGGAGGCAGCAGUGGGGAAUAUUGCACAAUGGGCGCAAGCCUGAUGCAGCCAUGCCGCGUGUAUGAAGAAGGCCUUCGGGUUGUAAAGUACUUUCAGCGGGGAGGAAGGGAGUAAAGUUAAUACCUUUACUCAUUGACGUUACCCGCAGAAGAAGCACCGGCUAACUCCGUGCCAGCAGCCGCGGUAAUACGGAGGGUGCAAGCGUUAAUCGGA
rnacentral:rRNA from 1 species